rnacentral:rRNA from 1 species
UACGUAGGUGGCAAGCGUUGUCCGGAUUUAUUGGGUUUAAAGGGUGCGUAGGCGGCUUUGUAAGUCAGUGGUGAAAUAUGGCAGCUCAACUGUCAAGGUGCCAUUGAUACUGCGGAGCUUGAGUACAGAUGAGGUAGGCGGAAUUGACGGUGUAGCGGUGAAAUGCUUAGAUAUCGUCAAGAACACCUAUAACGAAGGCAGCUUACUAGGCUGUAACUGACGCUGAGGCACGAAAGUGUGGGGAUCAAACAGG